rnacentral:rRNA from 1 species
GAUGAACGCUGGCGGCGUGCCUAAUACAUGCAAGUCGAGCGAACGGACGAGAAGCUUGCUUCUCUCAUGUUAGCGGCGGACGGGUGAGUAACACGUGGAUAACCUACCUAUAAGACUGGGAUAACUUCGGGAAACCGGAGCUAAUACCGGAUGAGAUUUUGAACCGCGUGGUUCAAAAGUGAAAGACGGUCUUGCUGUCACGUAUAGAUGGAUCCGCGCUGCAUUAGCUAGUUGGUAAGGUAACGGCCUACCAAGGCAACGAUGCAUAGCCGACCUGAGAGGGUGAUCGGCCACACUGGAACUGAGACACGGUCCAGACUCCUACGGGAGGCAGCAGUAGGGAAUCUUCCGCAAUGGGCGAAAGCCUGACGGAGCAACGCCGCGUGAGUGAUGAAGGUCUUCGGAUCGUAAAACUCUGUUAUUAGGGAAGAACAUAUGUGUAAGUAACUGUGCACAUCUUGACGGUACCUAAUCAGAAAGCCACGGCUAACUACGCG